GACGAACGCUGGCGGCGUGCCUAAUACAUGCAAGUAGGACGCAGUUGCGAACGGGUGAGUAACGCGUAGGUAACUGCCUAUUAGAGGGGGAUAACUAUUGGAAACGAUAGCUAAUACCGCAUACUAGUAGAUGGACCUGCGUUGUAUUAGCUAGUAGGUAGGGUAAUGGCCUACCUAGGCAACGAGACAUAGCCGACCUGAGGGGGUGAUGGGCCACACCGGGACGGAGACACGGGCCAGACUCCUUCGGGAGGCAGCAGUAGGGAAUCUUCGGCAAUGGGGGGAACCCUGAACGAGCAACGACGCGGGAGUUAAGAAGGUUUUCGGAUCGUAAAGCUCUGUUGGUAAGGAAGCGGUACUUAACCAGAAAGGGACGGCUAACUACGUUCCAGCAGCCGCGGUAAUAC
rnacentral:rRNA from 1 species